rnacentral:rRNA from 1 species
UAGGUUUAAGGCAGGGCAGAUCCAAUUUUCUGCCACCGAAUACAUUAGCAUGGGAUAAUGGAAUAGGACCCUGUCCUCCUAUUUUCAGUUGGUUUUGGCAGCGCGAGGACUAGGGUAAUGAUUAAUAGGGAUAGUUGGGGGCAUUAAUAUUUAAUUGUCAGAGGUGAAAUUCUUGGAUUUAUGAAAGAUUAACUUCUGCGAAAGCAUCUGCCAAGGAUGUUUUCAUUAAUCAAGAACGAAAGUUAGGGGAUCGAAGACGAUCAGAUACCGUCGUAGUCUUAACCAUAAACGAUGCCGACCAGCGAUUAGGAGACGUUGAAUACAAAACACCACCAUCGGCGCGGUCGUCCUUGGCGUCUGUCCCUUUCAACGGGGGCAGGCGCGAGGGCGGUUUAGCCCGGUGGCACCGGUGAAUGACUCCCCUAGCACCUUUGUGAGAAAA